rnacentral:tRNA from 1 species
GCACGCUGGUCUAGUGGUAGAAUAGUUCCCUGCCAUGGAACAGACCCGGGUUCGAUUCCUGGGCAGUGCA